rnacentral:rRNA from 1 species
GACGGAGGGUGCAAGCGUUGCUCGGAAUCACUGGGCGUAAAGCGCACGUAGGCGGCUUGUUAAGUCAGGGGUGAAAUCCUGGAGCUCAACUCCAGAACUGCCUUUGAUACUGGCGAGCUUGAGUUCGGGAGAGGUGAGUGGAACUGCGAGUGUAGAGGUGAAAUUCGUAGAUAUUCGCAAGAACACCAGUGGCGAAGGCGGCUCACUGGCCCGAUACUGACGCUGAGGUGCGAAAGCGUGGGGAGCAAGCAGG